ACUCCUACGGGAGGCAGCAGUGGGGAAUAUUGCACAAUGGGGGAAACCCUGAUGCAGCCAUGCCGCGUGUGUGAAGAAGGCCUUCGGGUUGUAAAGCACUUUCAGUAGGGAGGAAGGUAGUGUAGUUAACACCUGCACUAUUUGACGUUACCUACAGAAGAAGCACCGGCUAACUCCGUGCCAGCAGCCGCGGUAAUACGGAGGGUGCGAGCGUUAAUCGGAAUUACUGGGCGUAAAGCGCAUGCAGGCGGCCUGUUAAGUCAGAUGUGAAAGCCCGGGGCUUAACCUCGGAAUUGCAUUUGAAACUGGCAGGCUAGAGUCUUGUAGAGGGGGGUAGAAUUUCAGGUGUAGCGGUGAAAUGCGUAGAGAUCUGAAGGAAUACCAGUGGCGAAGGCGGCCCCCUGGACAAAGACUGACGCUCAGAUGCGAAAGCGUGGGGAGCAAACAGGAUUAGAUACCCU
rnacentral:rRNA from 1 species